UACGGAGGGGGCGAGCGUUAUUCGGAAUUAUUGGGCGUAAAGGGCGCGUAGGCGGCUGUACAAGUCAAAGGUGAAAUCCCUCGGCUCAACUGAGGAACUGCCUUUGAAACUGUACGGCUUGAGGCCGGGAGGGGGUAGCGGAAUUCCCAAUGUAGCGGUGAAAUGCGUAGAUAUUGGGAGGAACACCAGUGGCGAAGGCGGCCGACUGGACCACACCUGACGCUGAGGCGCGAAGGCCAGGGGAGCGAACGGG
rnacentral:rRNA from 1 species